rnacentral:rRNA from 1 species
AGAUUCCGGAGAGGGAGCCUGAGAAACGGCUACCACAUCUAAGGAAGGCAGCAGGCGCGCAAAUUACCCAAUGAAAACAGUUUCGAGGUAGUGACGAGAAAUAACAAUACAGGGCAUUUUUUGCUUUGUAAUUGGAAUGAUGGGGAUCUAAAACCCUUUCAGAGUAACAAUUGGAGGGCAAGUCUGGUGCCAGCAGCCGCGGUAAUUCCAGCUCCAAUAGCGUAUAUUAGAGUUGUUGCAGUUAAAAAGCUCGUAGUUGGAUUUCUGUCUUGGUCGUCCGGUUCCGCUUUAUAGUGGAUACUUGGUUCGCCCUUGGCAUUUUUUCGGUAUCUUUCCCCACUUAAUUGUGCGGGUUUGAUUUCCGGAACUUUUACUUUGAGAAAAAUAGAGUGUUUCAAGCAGGCUUGUCGCCUUGAAUACUGCAGCAUGGAAUA